rnacentral:lncRNA from 1 species
GUCCAUAGUUAAUUUGUAUUCGGUUUGUAGGAUACGUGCAUAGCUGUUUGUCAACGUUAUGUUAUAAUGGCCGUAGAUUGACACUCAUCACCUGUAAGUCUUGAAAGGGUGAUUAGUUUCUUGGUUGUGUAUGAAUGAUGGUAUUGGAGAAGGAAUUGCUCUUAUUUGUACGGUCUGGUGAACUGGAUAGUUGUUUGAUGAGCUGUGACAUACCCCUUUUCCCCCCAAAUUCUCAUGAUAGUACCUGCGAAGUGAAGAUGGUGUAGGAGGAGUAUAUAUUUAUUUGAGAUAAUAUUUUGGCCAAGUGACUGCCGAAGACACUGUCAAAGAAAGGGAGCUUGACUCCCAA